UGCUUACUCACAAGAGCAACAUGAAGAAAUUAACGAUACUUCUUUAUCUUUUGAGUUGUUCUGCCGGAUCGGUCGUUCAAAACCUUUGGUCUCUAUCC